GAUUGGCUUUAAGGCAUGUCAAUCAAGUUGUUAAGCCUUCGGCUUCUAUCCCCCUCCUUCCUUAAAGGGCUAGGCUUCGCGACCGAGUCGGGAGAGUGAAGGUGAAGAUCGGAGCGCGUGGUUGCGUGGUGACGUUACGAAGCCGGGGCUUGAAGCGAGAGUCGGCCCCGCCCCCGCCCCCGCGCCGCGGUCUGUGCUGAGGGUAUUUGGAACCUCUCGACCUCUUUGCGGCGCGGGUUCCCACUGCGUCGUCUCAUCCCCCCCCCCCCCGCUCCAGCUGGACGGGAAGGGACGCCUUACGUCGUUUCCUGAACCCUGCCAUCCCAACGGAAACUGGUCGGCCCUAGGCCAGGCCGCGUCGCGCGCCGCCGGGCUGGGUGGGGUCCGCCCCCGCUCUAGGGGGGGCUAGCUUGGUUACCUCUCCCCGCCCAGCUUUUUUUCCCUGCCCCGCGCCUUGCGGGCCUGCUUUGGGCGCCGACGAUAUCCCGAGCUCUAGCUAGUAAUAGCGCACACCUUCCGGCCUCGGGACUGUUGUGGCCGAAGGUUCAAGGGACAGUCGCCCCCAAUCACGUUGAACUGUUUUUUUUUUUUUUUUAACGGUAAUAGCUAGUAUUUGUAAAGUGCUUCAAGGCCUUCUCAUUUGAUCCUCCUACGACGGGAAAUGCUAAUUUCCCCUUGAGGCGGGGGUUGGGGGUGUUGUCCCCGCUACGCUUCUGACGGCGGUGGGCGUUUUUGGAGCGGAGUCCUCCUGAGAGCCCCAGUACUGCCCUGACCUGCCAGGACCUUCGCUCGGUGGGACGGCCGCGUCCUAGAGUGAAAUCGGCCGUCCCCGGAGCGGGGAAGUGUGGGGCUUUAACGGCGCGGAAAAGGACCGCCAUGCAGUUUUGCCUUAUCUGAGAAGAGCGCUAAGUGUGGUUAAUGAGCGGCAGAUACUUGUUGCCAACUUGAAAAGUGAAAGAUAACGCCCUUAAAAAAAAAAAAAAAAAAAAAAAGGCGAGCACCUAUAUGUUUAUGAGGUACGAAGAAUUAGACACGGGCCUGCAAAGAGCGCUUUGCAAAUGGUGAAAUGCGAUUUCUGUGAAAUCCGUGGGCCAGGAGACCCUAAGUUCGGCCAGCCGUAGUCUGGCAUGAUAUGAGGGAGGUGCAAGGCCCCAGAUCAGAGAAGAUGGGAGCUGAUCUGAAGUGAAACGUUAGAAACUGAGGAGGAGGGGGGACGUUCCAGGUUAAGAAACCACAGAUGUUUUGCUUGGGGGAAUGAUUCAUGCCUUGAAGAAAUUAUUUCAACAGUUUCAAAGAGUAUGGAUUGGAGAAAGUUCAAACUUGAGGCCAGGAGACCAAUUCGGAAGCUGUGGCAAUAGGGGUCCAGAGGUCAGAGUCACUCCAAGGGUAGUGGCUGUGAAUAGAAAGAUGUGGAUGAAUACAAAAGACAGCAGAAUCAGCAAAACUUGGGCCUGGAUUGGAUGGAGAAGGGAGGAAGAAGUAAAAGGUUAAUGGAAAGAUGGCUAUCCCUCAGUGGACAUGGGUAGCAUGUUGAGUUUGGGACGCCUUUGAGACAUCAAAGUGCAGGUGUCCAGCAUGUUGUCUGAGAUUCAGUGAAGAUUGCAGAUCCAGAAAUCUUUCCAGCUUGGUAGAGCCUACCAGCACUUCUGUUGAACCUGUAUAGACACCUCACCACAGUGAGUUGAGCAUCUUCAUGGGCUAUUAGUGAAGACCAUUGAGGAUGUCAUUCAGAAAAUAGAUGAAUGGAAAAGGGAGGACAUCAUGGAUGUAAUUAAAGCAAGGGAUAAUAGAUAAAAAGUCAAAAUGCUUGAUGGGAUAUUAGAAGAUCUUAAGGAAAGCCACCAGCAUGUUGGGCAAACUCUCUAUGAAGGAGUUAUGGGAAUACUUUGACAAAAAUAGCAAAAGAAGUAAAGGCAUGUAGGAGUUGCAAAAUGCAUCUUUGGAAGGACCCACCACAUCAUUAAAAGAUGUGGAUCUCUUCAGGCAUUGAAAUAAA